AAAACGGAAUAACCAUGCACCAUGUGGGUGUGCGCACCGCCUCCAAGAAACUGCUCAUAUCAGCACCCGCUCGGAUGCUUUAUCUCUGAACCUACCUCAAGUCAGCAGAGGAUGUUCCACUACAGAAAGUAAAUUCGUCGUCCCAAAUCCUCACAAGGAAACUGGACAAAAGAGAGAUCAUUGGUUUCCAAGCUACCCACACCAAGUCGUAAGAAGCUCAAGAGUCGCCUAUCCACCACCAAAGUUUACCAGGCGGACAAAUGCAAGCCUUAUACUGAAAAGCAGUGAUAGUGUACGGCAUGUUGAAGCAGUACGAAAUUGGGUCCACAAAUUAUUGCUUCUUGCUUCAUGAAUUACUCAGUUUAGAGGAAAUGUGCUGGCUUCAAAUUUCUU